rnacentral:rRNA from 1 species
AUCCUGGCUCAGAUUGAACGCUGGCGGCAUGCCUUACACAUGCAAGUCGAACGGCAGCACGGGAGCAAUCCUGGUGGCGAGUGGCGAACGGGUGAGUAAUAUAUCGGAACGUGCCCAGUCGUGGGGGAUAACGUAGCGAAAGCUACGCUAAUACCGCAUACGAUCUACGGAUGAAAGCGGGGGAUCGCAAGACCUCGCGCGAUUGGAGCGGCCGAUAUCAGAUUAGCUAGUUGGUGGGGUAAAGGCCCACCAAGGCGACGAUCUGUAGCUGGUCUGAGAGGACGACCAGCCACACUGGAACUGAGACACGGUCCAGACUCCUACGGGAGGCAGCAGUGGGGAAUUUUGGACAAUGGGCGCAAGCCUGAUCCAGCAAUGCCGCGUGCAGGAUGAAGGCCUUCGGGUUGUAAACUGCUUUUGUACGGAACGAAACGGUCCUUUCUAAUACAAGGGGCUAAUGACGGUACCGUAAGAAUAAGCACCGGCUAACUACGUG